rnacentral:rRNA from 1 species
GCUUACGGCCAUACCAACCUGGCUAUGCCCGAUCUCGUCUGAUCUCGGAAGCUAAGCAGGUUUGGGCCUGGUUAGUACUUGGAUGGGAGACCGCCUGGGAAUACCAGGUGCUGCAACCU